CUGCCCUCACAUCCACUACCCUCACAGUCACUGCCCUCACAUCCACUGCCCUCACAGUCACUACCCUCACAUCCACUACCCUCACAGUCACUACCCUCACAUCCACUACCCUCACAGUCACUACCCUCACAUCCACUACCCUCAGUCACUGCCCUCACAUCCACAAACCACACAGUCACUACCCUCACAUCCACUACCCUCACAGUCACUACCCUCAACAUCCACUACCCUCACAGUCACUACCCUCACAUCAACUCCCCUUACAGUCAUUCUUCCAACAUUCACAACCCUUACAUCUUUAAACUAGCACGAAAACCCCUCAAACUCACUAUACUCACAUCCACAACCAUCAUAUAUGUUCCACUCACAUCCACUGCCCUCACAUCCACCCCCCUCAUUUAAUACCCUGACAUUCACUUUCCUCACAUUCACUAUAUCAACUACCCUCAAAUCCACCACCCACACACUGAAAAUACGGAAGCUCUAAGAAUGCACCAGGUGAGGUGAAUAACUGGUUUACAUUCAACCUCUGGAAAUAAACGGUAUGCCUAUACAGUCACACAUUUUCUAGGGGCCACAGACCUACCGGUGCAUGUCUUUUAACUACUGCUGCAGUCUCUCAGGCCGCAAACUCAUUAGCUGGGGAGCUGUAUGUUAUUUUCUAUGAUCUAAGACCCUGGGGUUUUGAGCUAGGUCUUUUGGGGUAGCCUCCAUGGUAUGUGCCGCGGAGAUAAUAUUUGCUUAUUCUAGAACUUUUUCUUGAAAGUGUACAUACAACCUGGUUGGAGUUUUUUGCCUUAUUAUACAAUAAGCUUACAGUGAUUGAAACAUGCCUUUUUAGAUUAUAUUCUCUUUGAUAUAAAGACUAUACUUUUUUUGUAAAUAGCCAAAAAAGCUGUAAACUUUGUUGUAUCUUGUACAGUGUAAAGUUGGGUUAUUUAAUAUUUUGUAAUAAAUUCAAUAUUGGUGUACAAAAUG